AGUGGUCAGGGACAGGGCCAGGGAAGCGGUCAGGGACAGGGAAGUGGUCGGGGACAAGGACAGGGUCAGGGACAGGGCCAGGGAAGCGGUCAGGGGCAAGGCCAGGGCCAAGGACAGGGAAGCGGUCAGGGACAAGGCCAGGGUCAGGGACAAGGCCAGGGUCAGGGACAAGGCCAGGGAAGCGGUCAGGGACAAGGCCAGGGAAGCGGUCAGGGACAAGGCCAGGGAAGCGGUUAGGGGAGAAGUCAAGAGAAUAGUCAGGGAUGUGGUCAUUGAAGUGGACAUGGGACUUUUGAUUAAUGCUUACUGGAGAUCUUUUCAAUUCAGUUUUAAUCCUAUGGCAUGGUUUCCUUUGUUUGCUCAAACUGUUUUGAAAACUUUUUGGUCUGCUCCACCUCAAAUAAAGAAUUGCUUGAUUUGAA